rnacentral:rRNA from 1 species
UACGUAGGGUGCAAGCGUUAAUCGGAAUUACUGGGCGUAAAGCGUGCGCAGGCGGUGAUGUAAGACAGAUGUGAAAUCCCCGGGCUCAACCUGGGAACUGCAUUUGUGACUGCAUCGCUAGAGUACGGCAGAGGGGGAUGGAAUUCCGCGUGUAGCAGUGAAAUGCGUAGAUAUGCGGAGGAACACCGAUGGCGAAGGCAAUCCUCUGGGCCUGUACUGACGCUCAUGCACGAAAGCGUGGGGAGCAAACAGG